rnacentral:rRNA from 1 species
AGAGGGUGCGAGCGUUAAUCGGAAUUACUGGGCGUAAAGCGCACGUAGGUGGAUAUUUAAGUUGGAAGUGAAAGCCCUGGGCUUAACCUAGGAAUUGCUCCCAAGACUGGAUAUCUAGAAUAUGGUAGAGGGUAGUGGAAUUUCCGGUGUAGCGGUGAAAUGCGUAGAUAUCGGAAGGAACACCAGUGGCGAAAGCGGCUACCUGGACCAAUAUUGACACUUAGGUGCGAAAGCGUGGGGAGCAAACAGGAUUAGAUACCCUGGUAGUCCACGCCGUCAACGAUGACAACUAGCCGUUGGGAGAUUAACUUCUCUUAGUGGCGAAGCUAACGCGUUAAGUUGUCCGCCUGGGGAGUACGGCCGCAAGGUUA